CUUGCUGUCACCUGCGAUUUCCUUCUUUUCCUGUCAUCCCAUUUCCUAUUUGUCAACCAUUUGUAAAUCCAUCUUCACUGUGGUGUUCCUUGCCACUGGGGGCGCCUGCCUUUGGGAACCUAGAGGAACUGGGGAAUGGAGGGGCAUCAGUGCCAUGGCCGAGGAGAGCUGAACCCCGUUUUCAGAAUCACUAGGCUAGAGCCCAAGCCUAGGCUCUGCCCAGCCCGAGGGCAACCCCGGGGUCUCCUGGGAGAUGCAGUUCCCGCGCACUCCCAGAGGCCUGUGCACCAGCAGGUGCCAACGGCGCCAACGACGCCAACGACGCCAACGGUGCCCAAGGAGCCUGAGAGGCUGGCGGCCGAAAGAGGAGUGGCCGUGUCCUGCCUGCUGAGCCACCAAGGGGUCAGGCUAGACCGGGGUCGGGGCGCACAGCACUGCGUUUCCAGAGCCCCUGGCCACCUUGGCAGUGGUUUAACGUUGGGUCUGAACUGCCAUUCACUGGGCAGCACCUUAGCUACUGCAUGCGGGGCGAGGCUGUGAACAUCCGGCCCAGAGAAGCAGGACGCCCACAGGAGCAUGCCCACCCUCACUAAGCUAAGGAUGUGGUGGGAACUCAAAAUCAGAGACUUCCAGAAGAUCCUGGCCACCAGCUGGUGCCUCACGCAGAAGCCCCUCAGGUCUUGCCAGCACCGGACCUAUUUUUUUUCUCCUGUAGUUUUGCCUUGGCUCAAGACCCAUCUUCACGAGUGCUCUUGUCCCUGGGAGCUCUUUUGGAAGCCUGGCUGUCCCUGUGCUCUGCAAGAGCAGACAAGAUGUGGGUCUUUGUGGGGACCGGGUCAGUCCUGAACUGGGAGGAGAAGACUGGAGUCUGGGCAUCUUAGGGAUGCUGGGAACAAACUCCUGGGGACAGCCUGUCCCUUUGUGACCAGGAGGGGUUUCAGCAGGAAAUUCAGCCUAGUCCUGGGGGCCACAGCCUCUGCCUUAAGAAUGUAAUUUCAAAGGGGAUGAUACUUCCCAAGCAUCAGUGUGUCAGACACAAGGCCAGGACUGAGUAAUGAGCAUGGUGAGAGUUGAGGAGCUGACAUGCCCUCCGACAGGCAGGCCCCGAGGAAGGCUGCCUGAAGGAGCUUAGCCCAUGGGCUCAAGGGAGGCAGAGGACUGGGUUUGCCUUUCAGAACCCAGUGGUCUGAUUUCCACAGAAAAUUCCUAUGGUAAUUUGGUAAAGCUCCUGUCCUCCACACAUGGAAGGGAAAUGGAGAUGUGGGAAGGGUAGCAUAAAAACUCCUCCCUGGAGGGGCUGGACUGUGCCAGCGGGGCUCAGCUGAUGCUGUCUUCUGUGGCUCCACUGGCUCUCCUCUUCUCCUUUUCCUCUGGGGGCAGAGCCUGUGCAUUCUGCCUCCCUGUAAGGCUUCCUGGCAGCAGCUUCCUCAGAACUGGAGGGUCAGGCAGACUCCGGCCCAUCCAGCCACACUCCCUACAGUCCCUCAGUGGGGACUCGAGGGGCAGUACCAGGGCAAAGGUGGAAUGGAUGCUUCUCACCCUGUGUAAGAAAGUCAGCCAGCAGUAUCUGUUGCUGUGUAACAAACUACCCCACAAUUUAGCAGCUUGAACAUAUUACAGGUUCGGUGGUUUAGGAAUCCAAGUGGCUUAGUGGUGUCUCUGCCUGGUGGGGUCUCACAGGCCACAGUCUGCAUGCGCUCAGGCUAUGGUCCCAUGUGAAGGUCCAGCCAAGAGGACACGCGGUCAGGCACACGCAAGUGCAGUUGACAAGAUUCGGUUCCUCUGCAGCAAACUGACAGAGGGCCUCGUUUGCUGCUUUUUGGCGGGAGCUCUCAGUUCUUGCAGGGGCUUAUUGACAGUAUCCACCGUGCCUGAUCAAAGCAAGAGAGCAAAUGAGGAAGUGGCCUCUUUGUCAUCCAUCUGACUUGAUAAGGGACAUUCUGGGAUGCUUUGCUGUUUGUGGGAGUUCAAGCCCCUACUGGGGUACAUGAACCAGGAAGGGAGAUGGUGACAACCACCUCAAGGUUCAUCUCCACAACUUACCAUAAUACCAACUCCUCAGCUGAUGUGGAGACACAAUACUGUGUUCAGUAUCUCGUCACCCUAUUUUAUGACUAUUUAAAACCACUGACGUCGUGUUAUAUCCCGAGAUAUGACCAGGGAGUAAUGGGCCCAUGCUUGAUUGGGCCAUCUGUGGUCUCCAAUGACCCCUUUCCAAAGCAGUUAAUUUCCUUGAAUUUUGAGUUAUGUACAGCAUGUAAAGCUAGGUUAUUCCUCAAACUGAAAGCUUAGGCUCUCAGUUGAUACUUCAAAGGUCCCUUACGACCAGUCUACUAACUGGGGGAACCGAUGGAUAAGCAUGGGGAGAAGUCUGCCUUGGAACCCUUGUCUGUAUCCACAGGAGCCACACAGAUACGGCUUGAAACACAGCAGAGUCCAUAUCUCAGCAGAGCUCCUUUUAACCCUCCUAGACAGAGCAGGCACACUCACCUCCCUGUGGUCCCUCAAGGCUUUCUAAGGCUUUGGUGAGGUCCACAAUUCCUCUGAACCUGCUCUAGAGGCAUCAGUUCUGCAACAGGGUGUUCCAGCAUAGCAUGGCAAUCUUUAGUGUUUCCCAACUCUAGAUUCAUGAAGAGCUGGUACCCUUGGCUAUUGUAUAUAGACGUAAUAAACUCAAUCUAUAAAGGA